UCACCACAGACGCUCCUCUUCCUCGAUCUGCCGCCAUUCUUCAGGUGGCCUUCCCCCUUUCUCCUCCUCUAUGCCGCCGUUGCCCGUCCUCCUUCUCCCGCAUCUCCUCCCCGUUGUCAGGCGCGCUGUGCCGCCAUCCUUCCUCCUCCCCAUCGAGGCCAGGCAGAGGAGGAGGAGCGCGGUGCGCGGACAUGACGAGGAAGCAGCCGGCGUCAGCGCGCGCCGCCCGGCCAAGGUCUUUUCCUGCAUGCGCGACCUCCUCGCCAAGCCCUUCCCAUACGCGCGGGUCCUCGCUGCCUGGCUCUACCUCCACUGCGACCUCGUCCAGGACGCCCGCAGCGCCGCCGCCGUCCGCGCCGCCGACGGCCAGAUCCAACACCGUUGAAGAGACCGUCGCCAUGGUGCUCCACUAUGCCUCGGGGAUCGAUCAACCCCAUGAUGUCGCCGCCGUCUCCUUCGUCCAGCCGGCAUGCCGCCGCCGUCGUCUUCGCGUGCACAUGAUAGGAGGUGUGCGACCCUCCUCUCUCGCGCACUGCGGCCGCUUCGCCCCGCCAUCGUUCCUCGGGUGUGGUCGCGCCUGUCUUCUUACCGCGUCGUCGCUCCUCCUCCAGGCCGCCGGCGGCACCCGUCCUCCUCCCUCAUCCUCUCCAGGUGGCUGGGACGCUUUACGCUCGUAGAUGCGAGGCUCACUCGGAUGUGAAGGUGCCCCUGCAUUGGAGCCCAAGGAUGCACUGUAUGCGUGAGGUUAUUAUCGCACUGAGGAUGCUAUGGGAAAACAGGGACAUAUUUGAUCUUGUUAUCAGUGAUGUGCACAUGCCAGACAUGGAUGGCUUUAAGCUUCUUGAGCUUGAAAUGGACCUCCCUAUCAUCAGAGUAAUGGAAUGUUAAUUGGCUGGUGGCGGCAUGUUCAAGUAUGGGGAAUGAUGAGCUCCUACUUCUUUUUAUGCCAGCUCUAUGCCAUAGUAAAAUGCUCUAUUUUCAAGUGGCAUCAUACAGCGAAGGAGGGGGUCUGGAUCAAGAGCUGUAAUGUUGCUUGUGACGACAUGUCUAGCACUUGCGCGACCCUGGAUUCUGGCUUCUUGCAAGUAAGCUCCUUUUGCUGGACUCUCGCUUCUUCUUGCAAGUUGGCCAUACUAUUGUGAUAAUCUCGGCCAGGAUCAUUCUUUAUAUCAUGUUGGAUCAUCUUGGAGUUCGUAGAGCCAUUUACCGUCGAAAGAUGUACUCAUAGAACAUAAUCAGUGUGAUCAUGCUUUUCUACACUUUUGUCCUGAGCAAUGGGAUAUGUAUUCUGUACUGUAUGACUACCCUCUAAUGCACUACUCAACCUUCAGUCUCUGUAUGUACAAAUGACUUUGAUCUAAUUGUUAUGAAUGACCUAUGGAGUGUUUUGCUUUCUAUAUAAAUAACUUGCUUUAAUUCUGAUUUAUCA